rnacentral:rRNA from 1 species
GACGAACGCUGGCGGCGUGCUUAACACAUGCAAGUCGAACGGAAAGGCCCUGCUUGCAGGGUACUCGAGUGGCGAACGGGUGAGUAACACGUGGGUGAUCUGCCCUGCACUUCGGGAUAAGCCUGGGAAACUGGGUCUAAUACCGGAUAUGACCUUCCAUGUAGUGUGGGGGGUGGAAAGAUUUAUCGGUGUGGGAUGAGCCCGCGGCCUAUCAGCUUGUUGGUGGGGUAAUGGCCUACCAAGGCGUCGACGGGUAGCCGGCCUGAGCGGGAGGACGGCCACAUUGGGACUGAGAUACGGCCCAGACUCCUACGGGAGGCAGCAGUGGGGAAUAUUGCACAAUGGGCGGAAGCCUGAUGCAGCGACGCCGCGUGGGGGAUGACGGCCUUCGGGUUGUAAACCUCUUUCGACAGGGACGAAGCUUCGGUGACGGUACCUGUAUAAGAAGCACCGGCUAACUACGUG